GAUGAACGCUGGCGGCGUGCCUAACACAUGCAAGUCGAGCGGGGACUUGGGAGCUUGCUCCUGGGUUCUAGCGGCGGACGGGUGAGUAACGCGUGAGCAACCUGCCUCUUACAGGGGGAUAACGCAUCGAAAGAUGUGCUAAUACCGCGUAAGACCACAGCACCGCAUGGUGCAGAGGUCAAAGGAGCAAUCCGGUAAGAGAUGGGCUCGCGUCCGAUUAGCUAGUUGGUGAGAUAAAAGCCCACCAAGGCGACGAUCGGUAGCCGACCUGAGAGGGUGAUCGGCCACAUUGGAACUGAGAUACGGCCCAGACUCCUACGGGAGGCAGCAGUGGGGAAUAUUGGGCAAUGGGCGAAAGCCUGACCCAGCAACGCCGCGUGAAGG
rnacentral:rRNA from 1 species